UGAGGAAUAUUGCACAAUGGGCGCAAGCCUGAUGCAGCGACGCCGCGUGUGGGAUGAAGGGGCUACGCCUCGUAAACCACUGUAGCCCGGGACGAAAAACGCCUUAGAGGCGUUAGACGGUACCGGGAAAGUAAGGGUCGGCUAACUACGUGCCAGCAGCCGCGGUAAUACGUAGGACCCAAGCGUUGUCCGGAUUUACUGGGGGUAAAGGGUGAGCAGGCGGAUGGGUAAGUCAGGGGUGAAAGUCUGCAGCUUAACUGUAGAAUUGCCUUUGAUACUGCUCAUCUUGAGUGUGGGAGAGUUUGAUGGAAUGCCAGGUGUGUCAGUGAAAUGCGUAGAUAUCUGGAAGAACACUAGUGGCGAAGGCGGUCAACUGGCCCAUAACUGACGCUCAUGCACGAAAG
rnacentral:rRNA from 1 species